AAGUCGUAACAAGGUUUCCGUAGGUGAACCUGCGGAAGGAUCAUUAGCACGUAUCCAACGUUAAACCCCCCGUGAACCAAUGCCGUGAACCCCACAGUUUCCCAUUAGGGCCGCGAUAAUCCGCAGCCCAAAAAACCCGAACAACUGUUAACAAUGGAUAUCUUGGUUCUC
rnacentral:misc_RNA from 1 species